UGGUGAAAGGAGGAAAGAAUAAGUGAGAGAAAGAGAUCAAAGCUCAAUGGAGAAUGACAAAGAUGGAGAAAAGGAUGAGAGACAAAGAAGACACACAGAGAGAGACAGAGAAAGUUGAAGGCAGUAAGGAGAGUGAUGAAGGAAAAAGUUUUCUUGCUGAUGCAGAGGUUGCCCAUAAACAUCUUUCCUCCUGAUGAACACACAGCUUCCACACUGUUUUUCUCACUGAAGGGAAAGAACGACUGAGUCGUCCUGUUCCAGUGCAGGGCCGAGAUGGGUGCAGCGUGUCUGGCUCACUCAGACAGGCGUGGAGAGUGAGAGUCAAGAUGAUCAAAAAUGACAGCAAGAAAAAAAGAAAGGAGGAAGGAAAGAAAGAAAGAAAUUUGUGGUAACCUUUGUCACAAGCUUCAGAGAGACCACAAGUGUCACCAGUCAAGAUCACCCCAGCUAUAUAAACCUGAACCUGAGUCAAAGUAUUGACUAUCGUCUGACGGGACACAAGGACUUCUCGCAAUAUGAUCCUAAAAAUGCUGUCAUGUGUGAUCAUCUUGAUUGUGGUGCUCCACACUUGUCUGAGUGAGCUGGACUUACUGCAUCCAUCUCAGCCCUGCACUGAAGCGAAGGACCAGAAUGCGUAUGACACUUUCCUUCACCAACACCUACGUAAGGACACACCAAAUGAUCCACGCAAACUAAGAGAAUGGCAAAAGUUCAUUGACAGAAUCAACACAUGGGACAGGCCAAUUCAGUCAUUUCUUCCCUUCAAAGAAGCAGGACGAGUGAUAGCUGUGUGUUCAUCAGGAGGAAAGGUGUAUAGAGGGAACCUCUGCAUCAGCAAGAAGCUGCUCACGUUCUUCACUGUUGUGAUCAACAAUAGGAAGCAAGUCAAGAAAGUCAAGGUUCAGACACAACAUGUUAUUCUUGGCUGUGAUAAAAUUAAAAAUAAAUGUCUGCCUAUUCAUUUUGAGGCUAAUUUAAAUGAUGCUGUACCAGAUAAUAACAAACCAGACUGCAGUAAAGCGAUAGCAAAUGCAAGCGUUCUUUCUUUCGAGGAGGUGUUUUAUGUCUAGACACAUGACCUGCAGAAUUCAGAUGUCUGGAUGUUACUUUUUAGCUUUGCUUCUUUUAUUUCUGUCUUGAAACUGCAAGUAAUGUGAAGAUACCUGCUGAUAUCCAUAAACAAAUUCAUUCUGUAUGUAUACAAACAUAUAUAUUUUCUUACACUUUUGCCUCAGUUCAAUCAUUUAUUGAAUAA